rnacentral:rRNA from 1 species
AGACGGGGGGUGCUAGCGUUGUUCGGAAUUACUGGGCGUAAAGGGCGCGUAGGCGGCUCUGCGAGUCGGGCGUGAAAUCCCGGGGCUCAACCCCGGAACGGCGCUCGAUACUGCGGGGCUGGAGACCGGAAGAGGAGGGUGGAAUUCCCAGUGUAGAGGUGAAAUUCGUAGAUAUUGGGAGGAACACCGGUGGCGAAAGCGGCUCUCUGGUCCGGUUCUGACGCUGAGGCGCGAAAGCGUGGGGAGCAAACAGGAUUAGAUACCCCAGUAGUCC